GAGGGUUAUCUCUGUGGAAGUGUGUGGUUGUUUUGGCUGUCUGGGUGAGCUCUUGUAGUUGAACCGGAAUCCCUUCGGCUUUUACCUGGUCAGUACCCUUGACCCAUGGUCAAGGCCCUCUGAGUUUUCGGUUUUGAGGACGUUUGAGGCUGCGACCGCUGUGUAGGGAAAACUUAGGUGAGCUGCGGGCAGAAGGGGCGACAAGAAGGCUCUUGUACUGCUUCAGUAGAUUUUCUCUCUUGUGCCGACAUUGUGAAGAGAAAACCACCACCAAAAGAAAACGACCAUGAAAUAGCAGUGUCCCAAGUAUUACGGAGAUAAGCAAGAAGAACUAGAACUAAGCUUUUUGACUGAAAGAGGUGCUGCCAGCCUGGUUUCCAAGGUUACUGCUUUCACACUGAGGGAAAGAACUUCAGAAAGGGUGAGCUUUUAGAAACUGUCCCUAAACUCGCCGCUGCUUUUGCCUCGAGCUAGGCUUCCAAGUAGAAAGUCCAGAAGCUGGUCGCAAUGAAUAAUAACUCUUGCUGUUACUGAUAGCAAGCACAUUCUAGGAG
rnacentral:lncRNA from 1 species